GGGAACGGAAGUGGCGUCACUGCCGGGGCCAGGCUUGGGUAGAGGAGUUCCUUCUGCGCGGCGGAGGGAUGGCGGCGCUGUCCGGAGAAGCGGGGGAGCGCCUGGCGCUGUGGGAGCAUCCCGCUCUGCCCCUGGCUCCCCUCAGCGAGCGGCAGCGGGACUCGGUGGCGGAGCUGCGCGAAGCCCUGCCCUGCCUGCCCGCCCCUCCGGAGCUUCCUAUUGAAGAUUUAAUCAGCCUUGGGCAGCCAUCAUUAACGGUAACACUAACAGCCACAGUACCAGAAUCCACAGAGGAUAUCAUCUUCAAAGGGUUCUCUGCUUUGGGCUUGGAAAAUGAAAUAAUUGAAACUGCACAACAGUUCUUCUCUUGGUUUGAUCAGCUUGGUACCCAGAUGGAUCAAAAUGAAGGGGCUAAAUACAGGCAAACAAGGCUAUAUUUGUCUGGAUUUGAAGAGCAGUGUGAUGCUAUAUUGAAUGAUGUGACCAGCGCUCUUCAGCACUUGGAAUCAUUACAGAAGCAAUAUUUCUUUGUGUCAACCAAAACAGGAACCCUCCAUGAAGCCUGUGAACAGCUGUUGAAAGAGCAGUCAGAGCUUGUGGAACUGACAGAAGACAUCCAUCAGAAAUUGUCAUAUUUCAAUGAACUGGAAAAUAUUAAUACAAAACUGACUUCCCCUACGCUGUCUGUAAAUAGUGAUGGUUUCAUCCCUAUGCUUGCUAAGCUUGAUGACUGUAUUGCUUAUAUUACAUCACAUCCAGACUUUAGGGACUAUCCUGUAUAUUUAGCAAAGUUUAAACAUUGCCUUUCUAAAGCAGUGCACCUCAUGAAAACAUACACUGUGCAUACACUGCAGAACCUGACAAACCAAUUAAUUAAAAGGGAUCCUUCUGUGGCACCAAAUUCAGAUAAUGCCUUCACUUUAUUUUAUGUAAAGUUCAGAGCAGCUGCUCCCAAAGUCAGAGCACUUAUUGAGCAGAUAGAGCAGCGAUCUGAGAAAAUGCCAGAGUACCAGCAACUGUUAAAUGAAAUCCAUCAAUGUUACCUUGAUCAGCGGGAACACUUACUGAGCCCCAGCAUUACUAGUACUGUAAUGGAAUUAACUAAUCGCAACAACAGAGAUCAUUGUGCUCUGGUGCGAAGUGGCUGUGCCUUUAUGGUUCAUGUGUGCCAGGAUGAGCAUCAACUGUAUGACGAGUUCUUCACAAAACCAACACCAAAACUAGAUGAACUUUUGGAGAAAUUAUGCCUGUCAUUAUAUGAUGUCUUCAGGCCAUUGAUCAUCCAUAUAAUUCACCUAGAAACACUGUCUGAACUCUGUGGGAUUCUCAAAAAUGAAAUGCUUGAAGAUCAUGUGCAAAACAAUGUGGAACAGCUGGCUGCUUUUGCUGCUGGAAUUAAGCAGAUGUUGGAGGAUGUUCAAGAGCGCCUGGUGUACAGAACAUAUAUCUAUAUUCAGACUGACAUUGCUGGUUACAAACCUGCCCCAGGUGACCUUGCUUAUCCUGCUAAGUUGGAAAUGAUGGAGCAAAUUUCACAGAGCUUAAAAGAUGAAGCGAAAAAGUUGCCUGCAGAUACAGCACUGUCGGCUACAAAACUGGAUGAUCCAAAAAGCUACAGUGUGGUAAAACUUGAUACAUUGGAAUCCAAUAAUCUUAGACUUCAGACUACAGUUUCACCUGCAGAUCUCCAUGGAAUGUGGUAUCCUACUGUCAGAAGGACACUUGUGUGUCUUUCCAAGCUUUACAGAUGUAUUGAUAGAGCAGUCUUCCAAGGAUUGUCACAGGAGGCCUUAUCUGCCUGCAUACAGUCAUUGUUAGCAGCUGCAGAGUCCAUUGCUAAAAAUAAGACUCCGAUAGAUGGACAGCUUUUCUUAAUAAAACACCUUUUGAUUCUUCGUGAACAAAUUGCUCCUUUCCACACUGAAUUCACGAUAAAAGAAAUUUCUUUGGAUCUUAAGAAGACUAGAGAUGCUGCAUUUAAAAUCCUGAAUCCAAUGACAGUUCCACAUUUUUUUAGACUGAGUAGCAACAAUGCACUGAUACAGUUUUUACUGGAGGGUACUCCAGAAAUCAGAGAACAUUAUAUUGACUCUAAAAAGGAUGUGGAUCGGCACCUCAAGUUUGCCUGUGAGCAGUUCAUUCAGCAGCAAACCAAGCAACUUGUAGAACCUCUGGAGGAAUUCCUCGCAAAGGUUUCUGCUUUGAAAACAAUGGCUACUCAAAGGGGUCCAAAGUACAACCUUUUGCUGCAACCAUGGGCACAGCCAGCAAAGGUCAGUGACUUAGUGUCUUCAACAUACAAGACAAUAAAAACAAAACUCCCAUCAACUCUACAGAGUAUGUCCCUGUAUUUAUCCAAUAAAGACACAGAAUUCAUUUUGUUCAAGCCAGUAAGGAACAAUAUUCAGCAAGUGUUCCAGAAGCUGCAUGCUCUUUUGAAAGAAGAAUACAGUAAUGAAGAUCUCCAGAUCAUAGCUUGCCCUUCAAUGGAACAGGAGUAAUGAAUGGAAGCAAUUGGAGCAGCAAAAACCACAGAAGCUUAAUGGGAGAGCCAACAAAACAAUUAAAGCCACCAGCAAAUAGCUGGCAGACCAGCCUACAUUCAGAAAGCAGACAGUGGACCACUGCCCUGAUAUCACAGAUGGAAUACCUAGGAAGACUGAAGUGUUCUGACCCAGGCUUUUGUGUAUUUCCAUUCCUUCAUGUCCAUCUGGUGCAGAGACUGGCCUGUUUGCCAAAUGUAGAGGGCUGAAGGGCAUGGCUGACAGAGAAUGGCAUAUUAGAGGAUGAGUACAUGAAAGUACCUCUAUAUUGUGGGUUAUGUGAUUAGGUCCUGUGAUAACAUUUCCUGAGUAGAUCAAUCCAUCAACAGAGGGUUGAAGAAAGACAAUGGGUUUCUACGCACAAAAUAACAUACUGCACAUAAAACUGGACCUUCUUAGCCCAGUCUCAUAUCUCCUUUCUGGUUUCCAACCUGCACACACCACCUUCCAAAACUCCAUCAUUCAUAGGGGCACCCACCCACCCUGGCCUUAGCCAACAAAUUUACUCCUAACUUUGUCCCUCAAUGACCGCUGUGAAACCUGAACCUGCCACCGCAUCACCAUACCUGCAAAUGUUAUGGGCAUUCAUACAGUCAAAUCAUACAAUCGUCCAUGCAUCUCAAGAAGUAGACCAAGUUGACGAAAGCUUGUGCUACAACAACUUUCACACAGUCUCAAAGGUGUUGCAAAAUCUCUUUGCAUACUGACAUUUCAGAGUAACACAGCUCUGAAUUCUACCAUAAUGGAAACAAGAAAUGAAAGCAAUAUAUCAUGUGAAUAGGAAAUAAAAAGUAUAAAGACCCAAUUGUGAAUCUGUCUGUCGGGGGUAAAAAAACAACAACAAAGGCUGACUUGGCAUCCAUCUCAAGAAGGUAGUGUGCACCCCACAAAGGGAUUCAUCACCCUGUCAUGAGGCUAGGGGAUCAAAGUGGGGCAUGCCAUGGGUGGGCACACAGAUAAGUCUCCUUGUGAUACUUUUGGUUUUUCUCUGGAACCAAGGCUGUGCUUCCCACUGCCUUUCCAUCUAAAUAUGUAUUUUUCUAUGAUGUCCUAAAAGAUAAACUUUGUUUGGAGAAGCCUGGAGUUAUUGUAGUAGGCCUUACUGCUGCUAGUCAAUUUAUGAUAUACUUCCUAUUUUAGAAAAGGCCUCUAAAACAGCCAGGGCGCUUCAAAAAACUUUACAAAAUUGCCCCUCCUACAUUUUUACUGUGGAAAAAUUCCCUUAAAGGGUGGCAGGGGUCUCCAACCCCACACAUAGGUGUAUUGGUCUAUGACUGGGGAAAUGGAUGAUCAUACUUCACAUUCUCGCAUUCGCACUGCCCUGGUGCUACGUUCCACAAGUAUUACCAAACAAUGAAAUAGAGCCACAGUCACAUCAGCUUGGGCUAAUAUUUAUUAAAUCACUUACAUAAAAGAACAUGCUUUCAAUUCAGUAUUUUUAUUUAUUAAUUGCCAAAUAAUAAUCCACUGCAAUGAAAUAACAAAACACAAGAGUAAGUUCCGUUAUGAAGUGUGAGAGCAUGAACACAAAUGUGUAUUAACUAAAAAAAUCCAUGUAGAUGGUUACAUACUGCCAAUACUGUUAAGCUUUUUUCUUUUCUUUUACUGAUAGGUUAAUUUAGUAUAGUCCAAUCCUAUAACUGCAAUGCUAGGCCUAAAUUCAGUUAACACUGCUAUGGGUAAUAAGAGUGCAAAUCAAAAGCAUUUAAAAGGCCCAUGCUAGGAUCUCACUCAGUGGGACUCUCUCCCAUCCACAAGGACUGUAGGGAGCUACAAAUAAUUUCAGUGACUUACACAUUGUGCUAUCUUUAAUUAUGAAACUGUAACUCUCCACCAUGAUAAAAAACAACAUUCUGUGGCUUAGUUACCAUUAAUUUAGGUCUUGCUAAGUCCUGUUAAUUAAAGUGACAGUAAAUUGAAUAACUCUUUGAUAUAAAUAAAAAUGGGAAUGUCAUCCUUCCUGCCCUUAAAAAAAGCUUUCAAUCUUUUUUUUCUCAAUAUAAGAUUUUUAAGUCUAUACAAAGGCAAAAUGUACAUAUUUACAUUCAUAUUAUUAAAGCACUUCAGUUGUUGGGGUUUUGUUUUUUGUUUUUGGCUGCUCUGGAAUGGGGAGGGGAGAGUCAGCAAAAGAGAAAUCCUGCUAUUUUGGACCAUGGCUAAUAAAUACUUCAAAAGGAAUUGCAAUGAAUUAAUUUCCUUUACUGUCAAUGAAAUUGUAUAAAAGCAUCAGCAGGGGAAAAUUUACAGUAAUUCAAGGAGGAGAAAAUGCAAAUAGCUUUGGACAUCAAAAUAACAGAUUGUUGCUUUUGGUUCCUUUGAAGAGGGAGCCUACAA